ACCAGUAAUUCAUUCAUCAAUACAGUUAAGUUCAUUACUCGAUACAAAAAGAAAAUGUUUGUGACUGUUCUAACAGCACUUCUACUGUUUAACAGCUUUAUAUACAUUAAUGCUAAGUCGGUGCAACACACGCCAUACACGAAUAACUAUUUGUACAAACCUUGCGUAUACCCGUAUAAUUUUUACUUCAUUAACGGAUACAGAGCUAGGUCUUUCAGAUGCGACACUUUCAUUGAUCCUAUAUAUUAUUAUUAUCAUCAAAAUUAUCACUUACAUCCUUCAACAGACUGGAGAUCGAUGUAUCAACAUUAUUUUCGCUUAGUUUAACGUAAGGCAACGAAAAAUCAAGGAGCAGUUUCCUCAUCAAUCAUCCUCCAUUGUUAUAUUUUACAUAAUGAAUAUUUAUUUAUUUUGUAUGCUUUUUACUAAUAUUUUUGUAACUAAACGAUACGUUAUUUAAU